CCUACGGGAGGCAGCAGUGGGGAAUAUUGGGCAAUGGGCGCAAGCCUGACCCAGCAAAGCCGCGUGAAGGAAGAAGGCUUUCGGGUUGUAAACUUUCUUUCACAGGGACGAAGCAAGUGACGGUACCGGAGGAACAAGCCACCGCUAACUACGUGCCAGGAGUCGCCGGAAUACGGAGGGGGCAGGCGUUAACCGGAUUCACGGGGUGUAAAGGGCGUGUGGGUGGGACUGCAAGGCAGAUGGGAAAAUCACGGGGUCAACCUGUGGCCUGGCGUUGACACUGGCGGUCUUGAGAACUGGAGAGGUAGACGGAAUGCGUAGUGUAGCGGUGAAAUGCUUAGAUAUUAGGAGGAACGCCGGUGGCGAAGGCAGUAUGCUGGACAGCAACUGACGCUGAGGCGCGAAAGCGUGGGGAGCAAACAGGAUUAGAUACCCGAGUAGUC
rnacentral:rRNA from 1 species